rnacentral:miRNA from 1 species
AAAUGGAUUUCAAGCUCUAAAAAU